rnacentral:rRNA from 1 species
AGCAGCCGCGGUAAUUCCAGCUCCAAUAGCGUAUAUUAAAGUUGUUGCAGUUAAAAAGCUCGUAGUUGAAUUUCGAGAUCAAUAUGUUGGUCGUGCCUCGGUACGUACUUGCAUCAUUGAUUUCUCCCUUCUGAUGAACCAUGAUGCCAUUAAUUUGGUGUCUUGGGGAAUCAGGACUGUUACUUUGAAAAAAUUAGAGUGUUUAAAGCAGGCUCACGCUUGAAUACAUUAGCAUGGAAUAAUGAAAUAGGACGUUUGAUUCUAUUUUGUUGGUUUCUAGGAUCGACGUAAUGAUUAAUAGGGAUAGUUGGGGGCAUUAGUAUUCAAUUGUCAGAGGUGAAAUUCUUGGAUUUAUUGAAGACUAACUACUGCGAAAGCAUUUGCCAAGGAUGUUUUCAUUAAUCAAGAACGAAAGUUAGGGGAUCGAAGACGAUCAGAUACCGUCGUAGU